rnacentral:lncRNA from 1 species
AAGCAUUAUCCCUGGGGGGCUGGUCAGACAUCUUAGCAGUUAAGAACACUAGCUGUUCUUCUAGAGGUCCUGAGUUCAAUUCUCAGCAACCACAUGGUGGCUCACAACCAUCUGUAAUGGGAUCCGAUACUCUCGUCUGGCAUUCAGGUGUGCAUGCAGAUGAAAUACUCAUGCAUUAAAAAAAAAUUAAUUUUUUUUUUUUUUGGUUUUUCGAGACAGGGUUUCUCUGUAUAGUCCUGGCUGUUCUGGAACUCACUUUGUAGACCAGGCUGGCCUCGAACUCAGAAAUCAGCCUGCCUCUGCCUCCCAAGUGCUGGGAUAAGACUACUAGAGAAGCCCGCCAACUAUAAACACUAUCAAAAAGUGUUAUCUGUCAUAUACCAGUUGAUUGUGGUGUAGAAAAGCACAAGAGCUGGCCACCACAAGAGACAGCAGGAAGGACGUCACGCAUGUAUAUAACCCCAGCCCUUGGGAGGUGGAUCAUAAGGUGAAGGCACUGUCAGAUACAUAGUGAGUUUAAGGCUAGUCUGGGUUACAGGAGGUCCUGUCUCAACGCUUCUCAAAGACUAGAGAUGGCCAAUAAAAUAACCACUAGACACAUAUAGUUACCUAAAUCUAGCCUAAUGAAAGCAAAAUGAAAAUUCAUUCUUCAGUCACACUAAGCACUUUUCAAUAUCCUUCACAGCCAGUCGCCUGUAUAACAUAUUUCCUUCACAGACUUCUUUGGGACAACAGUUAGAGCAAGGAUACAGCUAUAUAUAGUCUAGCUGUGACUCAACACUUGAUUUUAGCCAAAAGGCCAAGCAGCAAUUAGAUAUGACUCAAUUGCCAGGCUACAUGGAAAAUUGGCCCCAGGAAUGGGGAUAAAAGUAUGUCAGAUCCAUUGAUAGACAAAUACGUGUAUGUGUCUGCAGUUCCCAAUCUGUGUAACAAGUAUGAAGAAGAAACUUAAGGGUUUUUUGAAAAGUCAUUUGGAUUGUGUUUUUGCUUGUUUUUGUUUGUCAUGUGUCACGUGUGACAAACACGUGAAGGAACGUUUUGUUAAAGUGGACACAGGUAUGAAAGGCUAAGGCAAAUUCUCGAAGGAACGUCAGGUGAAAGGAUGUACUGCUAAAGCAACACGCGAAAGGACACGUGAUGAAGGAUUCUUUGCUAACGACACACAUGCAUUGUGUCCACCUUGCAUUGCGUAGUUGAGCUGCAUUUGUUGAGACUCCAUAGAGAGAAACCGAGCCAAAAAACUUCUGGUGGUGUGCUGCAGUUUCUUGCCACUUCCUCGGACUUGGGCUGAUUGGCAAAGUGAUGUCAGCUGAGACAGGUGCACAUGUUGAGGCAAGACCCAUGGAAGACUCCUGAUGCUUGGAGGGAAUAAAUAGAACUUAAUGGACAUGGGUAAAGGCUGAGCUUGGCUUGCUUAUAGAGCUAGCUGUGCAACGCGUGUGGGUCUUGCGUCUUCUCUGAUCUUGGAUACCUUGAGAGAGGCACAGCUGAGGACUUCUCCUUGUUCCUUUUGGCCCUGGUCCCUCCUGCUGAUUCCAGCAGAGGCUGAGGCCUGGCUGUCUCUACUAAGUAGUGCCACCAUGGCUGAUUUGUGUUUGCUAUCCUGACUCUACCGAACUGGACUGUAUCUAUGAAGUGUUUGCGAAUGGAUCGAGCUGCUGCUGCUAACCUAUGAACUGGACCACUGAUUUCCAGACAACACAGAUGGGAAUUGCUCCAAAGAACCAUUUCUAAAUAGGUCCACUUCCCCGUAUCCUUUCUUUUCCAUCCUCUGGUGGGUGGUGGGCUAUAACAAGGGAGGUUAAAGCGUUUUAAAACCAUCAUUAAACAUAGGUAUUUGAAAAAUUAAAGUUACACAAGUAUUUAUUGG